GCAUCGGUGGCUCAGUGGUAGAAUGCUCGCCUGCCACGCGGGCGGCCCCGGCUUCGAUUCCCGGCCGAUGCA
rnacentral:tRNA from 1 species